rnacentral:rRNA from 1 species
AAACUGCGCGUCGGAAUGUGAACUGCAGGACAUAUGAUCAUCGACACUUUGAACGCACAUUGCGGGCACUGGCUUGUCCACUGCCCAUGUCUGGCUCAGGGUCGGUUUUGCAUCCCUCCUGAGAGGUUGCUCUGCCUCUUGGGCACUGGGCUCUCGCCCCUCCUUGGGAGAGGUGUGGCCUCAAGUUUCUAGCGCAUCCAGCUGGUGGGUGGCCAUGACUCUUUGGAAUCUUUUCCAGGGUCAAGUCCCUCUCUGUUUUGCUGGUUGUGCGCCAGUCAGUCUGUCUUGGGCUGCUGGCAACCCCUCUGCUUUUCGACCUGAGAGCAGGCAAGGUGACCCGCCAAAUUUAAGCAUAUUAAUAAGCGGAGGAAAAGAAAACAACUGUGAUGCCCUUAGUAAUGGCGAAUGAAACGGGCAGAGCCCAGCACCGAACUGCCAGCCUUUGGUUGCGCGGAAUGUGGUGUUUGGGGGAGUCUCCUCGCAGCGAGACGGCCGGUCCAAGUCCACCUUGACUGGGGCCACGGCC